CAGGCUCACUAAGGACACCUACCGUGUCCGGUUUGCUCUACCCGGGAACAGCCAGCUUGGCCUGCGGCCCGGCCAGCACCUCAUCCUACGGCUGGUCUCAAACUCCUGACCUCAAGUGAUCAGCCCACCUCGGCCUCCCAAAGUGUGGGGAUUACAGACAUGAGCCACCGUGCCCAGCCUUAAAAGGGUUUGCUGAAUGACUGGCUGACUGACUGCACACUUCUGUUUCUCAGAGGGAUAGUAGAUGACUUAGAAAUUCAGAGAGCCUAUACGCCCAUCAGCCCUGCCAACGCAGAAGGAUACUUUGAAGUGUUAAUUAAGAUGAAGAAACUGAAGCUCAAAAAGAUGACAUCAUUUGUCUCAAGGCCUCUUGGGUAAUAUGAUCCAAAUGGAAGGACAAAAGUUCAGUGUCAGUUCUGUUUAACAAGUAUGUAUUAAACAUUUACUCUGUGCCA
rnacentral:lncRNA from 1 species